UGCACCCAUGGUGGAAAGUGGGUACAUGACUGACUGGUGUGUGAACAUUUGGUUAAGCCAUGGAAAGAAGUAUUUGUGCCACGGUGCUUUUGCUGGCCCCUCGGUGCUGCUUGUCUUUGUACUGAAGGGCCUAUCUUAACUGACUGAACUUCAUUAUUUUCCUAACUUGUUACUUUUUACUGAUCUAGUGUUCCAGUGGAUCUGUGGGUGGGUUGCUAUUUCAUGGAUCAGUCAGACAUGUUAAGACUAAAUUCACUAAUGGCUCAGGUGGCAGUCUGAUACCAACAUGAAUUUUGAUCUGAUUAGGUCAUAUUCUUGUUUCUCCACAAGAAUGCAUUCAUUGGAAUAGACAUUCUCAAUCUUCCUGCCAAUGAGAAGCAGAAAAUGGUGAUGGACAACUCAAAUCCUGUGGAAAGAAAGGUUGAGAAGAACACUGUUUUCCAAGCUUUUACACUGAGGAAGCUGUGACACUUUGCUUCUGGCAAUGUGCUUAGGCCUCAAGGCUUUCCUCUGGGUGUCCUGGAAGGUUAGGGGCUCCUCUUCCUACACUCCCUCUGCCCUGGCUCAUUCUUCUUCCUGGUGUGAAGCUGGGUUGACCUCUGUCACUGGGAAGAAGAUCCUUUUCUCUUCUUUACACAUCUUGAGGUCCCCAAGAUCUCCAGUGCCCCUGUCAUGCUCUUCCCUGGCUCUGAGGAGCCCACUCUGUGUGCUUGGCAGCCAGUGUGCAAAUCUCAGGAUUCGAAAUGCCACACAUUCCUCCUCCUGCCCCACGUGCAGCCUUGGAGACCUUCACAGGAAAGAGCAUGUGCUCCUCCUCUUAGGAGACAGGAGCAUCUUGUUUUCCACCAGGAAGUUCUUCCUUUUUGAAUCUGAGCAGAAGACAAGUCCUUUCUCUGACUCCAGCAUGGGUAGAGGGGAACCUGCUACCUGGUCUGAAGUUGUAGAAUGUGAACGUACCCAUUUUAAAAACUCAGACACCAGAAAUUAAUUGGAUACACUUUUUCCCCCAAAUUCUGAGAUACCUUUGAAGUUCAGCGUGGGGAGAGGAGGGGAGCAAGACAGUGAAACGGAACUGAUGACAGCUCCUUUCUUGUGUGCCUUGCCUUCUCAGUGUACCCAAGUCGAGCACUAGCAAUUUCAGGCAGUUCCAUCACUUAUAUAAUGGGGAAUUUCUGCUAAAUCAUUUAAUCUUGAGCACACUGGCGGUCUUUAAAUGUCUUUCUCACAGUGUAGGAGAUAAUUAAACACCUCUUACAGGGGAGUUAAAUUUGGGGAGGAGGAAAAGAGAAUCAAGUCGAUAAGGCUAAACCAAGCGCAUGUUUAACUGUUUAAUACAGUGGCUCUUUUCUGAUUGUAUGUACAGUGUUAAGUUUGAGAAAGCCUUUCUCUACAUGACAUUUAAAAAGCUUAACUUGUGUUCCAGACAGGAGAACAGAGAGAUACAACCGUGUGUUAUAGCCUUCAAAUGGAAAUAUGUUCACUCUUAUGAACUCAUGGAAAGUCAUACAGAUGCCCAUCAGAGGCUAUUGUGCUUUCUUUAGUUUAUAACCAUACAGGCUCAUGUGUUUACAUGUGUACACAUUCUUGUAUCAUCAUGUAAUUCCAUUCACCCAAAAAUAAUGUGCAGGAUGCUGCCAUGUACUGGGAGCUUCUCAGGUAUUCAGUAGAAGGUUUUUUGUUUGGGAUUUGAGGUGGAUGCUGAGGUGGACUGUCCUUUUGAGGAAGAGGCUUGCUAAAAGGGCUAGUAAGGCCUUAGACAGCAGCAUGGUGGGGUUCUGAGGAGAGUUUCAGGCCCUCAUGGUAGGGUGAGGGACCAUUCUUACACAUUUUAGAAGAAGGAGAGUUUCUCUAGCAGGUGGCUUAUGGGAAGUCCAUAGUACAUGCUGGUAGUGAAACUAUCUCUGAUUCCUGGUGGGCAUGGGGUAGGUGAGGGAUUCUGUUAGCCUGGGGCCUGUAUGUAGAAUCAACUAUGGGGGCUUUGAUUCUAGGAACCAAAUUACUUUAUUUUCAUGAAUUGUUAUUAUUCAACUAAAAUGGAAGAGCUUUACGAAAUGGCAUGGCCAUGGCUGACACUACAGACACAGGCUUAUGGUGGACAGGGCUUUAAAGCCACACUGACAAGUGAGCAACACAGGAGUGUUGAGUUCAAGUACUCUACCCGACACUGACAUGUCAGCUUGUGUUCAUCUUACCUGAAGGAUCUUAUCUCCGGGUUGUAGUAGGUUGGAUGCUGGUCCAUCAGGCUGAACCCUAGUAACAAAGAUACCCUAUAAGUCAGAAGUGACAGAGGUUAGGAACUUAUUACCAUCAAGUAGGUGCACUUAAAUACAUUUCCAUUCAUAUAGAAAAUAGUGAAACAGCUUUUAAAUAAAUCACAGUUUAUACAAGUAAGCUUUCUAAGGGUUAUUACAGUAUUUUAAGUAGAACACUGCUCUGCAGAAUCAAGUUUAAAAAAGGCCACAUGUAAUGUAAAGAUAACCUUGUUGUUAUAAAGUACAGUUGCAGUUUAUAUACCAACCUCACAGCUAUCGAUAGAAAUGCCUUUUUGUAUAAAUUCUGAAUUUGCUAGAACCACUGGUAUAGGCUAUAAUCCCAGUACUCCGGAGGUUGAGGCAGGAUUGAUGUGAAUUUGACACAAGUAGGGCUACAUAGUUCCAGGCAGUCUGGGCUGCAGUGUGAGAUCCUAUUUCAAUAAUGAACCAGCAAACAAACAAACUAAUCAAAGACCAAUCAAACCAACCAACUAAACAAACAAACAAAAGCCCCAACAACAAUAAAAACAGCUUUGCCAAAUUUAGUUGUAAAAUGGAAAUUUUUGAUGGAAAAGGAAAAUGCGUUGUUUGAAAAGACAGGAGGAGAUGCAGUGGGAACAUCUGCACUGUGAUGACAAAGACCCUGUAGUCAUUUCCUUCUCGGUCUGGCAGCUUGCAUGUGCCAUGCUGAUGAUUUUAGUUAGCACCCUACUGUGCUGUGACAGGCAGAACGACAGUAUUGUCCCAAACAAGCCACUGUGUUUCUAGCUGCUGAGGUGAAGUUCUGACUCUUACUUCAUCCUAGCCUCUGGCGACUGCCACUCAGGUGACCCUGAUCACCUCUAUGCAGCUCUCCAUGCAGCAACAGUUUAAUAAUGUUUGCAUAAAUCCAAACCACAGGGGCUAAAUUAUACAGUCACAUCCACAGUGCUGGAAACCUCACUGUGCAGAGGCUGACUGCUUGAAGAACAUGAAGGUGGCUUCUGAGGCAUGCUUAAUAUCAGUAGUGGCAUCAUGACUGCAGGAUUCAAUCACUGUUCUGUGGAUUUACUCUGAAGCCGACUUUUACGGUGGCCUGAGCUUUCUAAUGCCUUUAUUGCUUUUUCCUAAAGCUUUGUUAUUUAUUUCCAGUCAAUACAUUUCGUGAACUAAGAUGUUUCCAUUGCUGUAGCUUCUUCUCUUUCUGUGUCCUCUUCCCAGCAUAUGGCCAUGCUAGUGAAACCAGUCAUCCACGAGGUGCCUUGUGACACCAGUCUUGUUAUUUGUGUACUGUUUCCCAAAGACUGUUUCAGAGUCCUAGUGCCUUAGUGCUUCAUUGUUUGUAUAUAAUGUUUAGGCAUCACUUGGGAAAGACUCUAACUAAAUCCAAGCCAAUCUGAGUCUCUGUGACAGUGGGAUCAAUGGAGAUGAAAAUAGUGACAUGUCAUCAUCAGAUCUGGAGCUAGAGUUACAGUUGACUGUGAGCCACCUGACAUGGAUGCUGGGAACUGAACUUGGGUCAUCUGCAAGCAGUAUGUGAUCUUAAUCACUAAGACCUCUUUCCAGUCCCUACAUUUCUGUCCUGCAAUAAAACUUGUCUAUUUGUAAGUUAUAUGACUCUUCAAGAAGCAUCCAUAAUGAACAGGCUUAUGAAAGCAUUUGCUUUUCACAAGUACUUUUGAAAAAUGGUCAGAUUUCUCAGUGUUAAGAUCUGAUCUCUUCUGGUUAUCUAGCCUCAGAAUCUCUGAAUACAAACCAAGGACUUACCAAGUUAAGUCUGCAAGUCCAGCACUUCACAUUCUAACUUUAGAGGGGAAAGGAACUUUAUAUGGUAUUUUUAAUGAUGAAGGUGAAUGACUGUGACAGUCUCAGCUAUUGUCAACGUAGACACAAAAAUAGACCUAGCCUUAAGGGACUUGCAACCUCAAUGCAUGAAAUACAUUUUUUAAAAUUGCCCCAAGUGUUACCUUUAGUUACUGCUUGGAAAAUGGUUUCUAGGAAGGCCAUAUCUUAACUAAAAAUUAUAUAUGUUACAAAUCAGAAUAUUUUAUUUUUACAUCAGAUAUUUUAGAAUAUAGUCUUUCAUGUAGUCCUGUAAGUAUGAAAGUUCAGAGAGGAUUUCCAGAGGGAAAAUGGCUCAUUAAAGUAGCAAACAGAACUGGACAUGCACUCUGUUUCCCGAGUUUCAGGGGACACUCUCUUCUCUCCAGAGAAGGGUUAAGUACUAACUUCCUCUAUAAAGCAGGCAACAUGGUUUACUUAUAUUGAGGCUUCUAGAAGCAAUGUUAGGUCACUCCAUAGCAUAGCCUCUGCAAUUGCUGGAAUGAACACUCCAAAGAUAAAGACAUCAACAGUGUUGUAUAAUGAUGGACGCUCUGAAAGUUUAAUUGCCAUGUGUCAGGUCUCAGGCUUCGAACAAUCUGCUGCCUUAGUAAAAGAAGAAUUUAUAUGGAGCAAGAAACGAGAUUUUUUCCCAUGGCCAUUAGAAACUAAGAGAGGAUGCCAAA